ACAGUGCUGGGGCCAGGCAGAUGUUGUCCCCGUCCCUCCGGCCAUCAGCCUGUCCCUGAUGCCAGCCUUGCACCCAAGGGUCCUGUCCUGAGGUUUUGCAGCCUCAGGGUGGCCGAGAGGUGUGUGGGUGGCUGCCACCCACAGUGGUCAUGCCCUGGGCUUUUCUUCCCAGAGCCAAGGGCUCCCAGGAGCCUGCACCACCCCCAGCCUCUCCCUGCUUGCCAGGCAGGCAUGGGCAGGGGAGAAGGAUGAGCCCAGUGUUACACGGCAAAGGGGGAGCAGGGAGCAUCAGUCCGGGAUUGCACCAAGCAACACCCGCUGCUCCGAGACAAGCCAGGAGCUCUGGGAAGUCCUGCCUGAUGCAGCGACACGUCACUGCCCUGACAGUUCUCAUUCUGGGGAUGGGCGAUGACACAGGUUGUUUGAUUUCUGGCUUUCCAGCAAGACCUGCUUUCUGAAGGUGCUGCAAGGGAGAUGUAUUUCUGACGCUCCGGACAAAGCCCCGCUGCUUCAGUUUCCCCAGAAAGUGAGGGAAGUGCUGAGAUCUGCUCCGGGAGAAGCAAAGGCAGCAACGGCAGGGCCACGAAACGGUUAAAGCCGUGUCGUGCGCUCCCUCCCGAUUGUUCUGCAAGGUGUGUUGUGACAUUUGUACUUCCUCCUGGCAGCGCCAGGCUGCGGGGAGGGACCGCGGGAUGCUGCCGGUGCCGGGGGCUGCACCAUGGCCCUCCGCGGGCUGGCUGGGCGCUGCGCUGCCAUCCUGCUGCUGGCCCUGCUGUGCGACGUGGUCGGCCUGAUCCUCCUCCUGCUGGGGAUUUUUGCUCCUCUAAGCUACUGGGACUUCUUAAUCUACAUGGGGUCACUGCUGCUCGCCUUCAGCCUCGUCUUCUGGGUCUUCUGGUACACAUUCAACAUCGAGGUCCCCUUUAGGGAGCUGGGAUUUAACUGACUCGCGGCGCCGGCAAAGCCAAAAUGGAAACUCGCACUUGGGAGAGCAUCCUGACCUGCAGGGAAGCUCCAACACAUCAUUCACCCAGUGAAGAGCAUCCCCAAAGGCCAAAAGGAAGGUUCUGUUGUUCCCUGCAGCAUCGCCCACCCAGACGGACCCCCAGGGGAAAGGAACAGAAGAUGACCAGAAUAUGAGGAAUAGGAGCAAGCAGAUGGAGAGGAGUAGCACCAAACUAGGACUCCGUCACACCGCCCUUAGACGUGGUCUUCUAUCGCAAACCUGCCACUGAAAAUACACAGAGAUGCACUACACGGAUCUGCCGGGUGCAUGCUACCACCCUGGGCAUGAGAAGCACAGCCACCCCACACGGAGCCUUCACAUCCCCCCUGAGCACACCAUGCUCACUCUGACCCACGGCCAGAGCCCAACAGGAGCAACCUGGUGGCAGCAGAACCACUGCAAGCUGUCCUGGCAGGGGCCAGGUUUGGAUUGGCAGGAUCCAUCCGGCAGGCAGGACCAGGUCUGCCAAGCUCUCCGCGUGGAUGUGAAGAACAGGCUCAGAGAGGGAGAUGACAAAAUUCAGCAGGACAGAGGAUUUCCUGAACAAAAUCCAGCAGGUGGCUGGGUGGAGGUCUAAGAUACAUUUCAGCUAAUCUCAGCAAGAUCUCAGGCACUUUCUAAGCGGCACUUACUGAAAUGCUCAGAAGGUCUCUGGUUAAAGAUCUACUGGAGCUACAGAGGUGGGAAAGGAUUUAGUGCUUCAUCUGUCAAACUGGUGGUGGCUCAGCACCGAAACAAGCUCCCUGCUGACUCAAAGCACAGCUCUCAGGUGGGAGGGAACAAAAAGAUCCGUGUCUCUUUCCUCCCAUGUUCCUGAUGCAGUCCACAGAGACUUUGUGCAGGAGGGAAACACUCGUAACACCCAUCAGUGGGUUGUUCAGCACUUUCCGUUAUGGACAUCUGGUUUCAGUCAUUUAAGACAUUCCAUUGUGACUUCCCCUCCGAGGUGAAGUUUGGUGCUCCCGUCAGCCCUUCCCUCUGGACACCGGUGGACAGGGCAGCGCUGGCACUUGGACCUCAUCUGUCAGAGGCUCAGAGCAGAGCUAUACCAACAUGCUGCAGGAGAGAUGUUCCCCACCAUUUAUUGCAGAAAGACCUCCACAGACUCCUGUGGGUGAUGGAGGUGCCAUUUGCACACAUGCUGCUUGCACUCAGCCCAGCUCCAUCAGCUCUUUCUCACCCAGUUAGAGAGCUCCCGGGGAGAGCACACAGGGAACAGGACACUCGAGCCUCCACAGGAGGGUUGAGGGGGGGAUGCCCACUGUCACCACUGCCUAGAAAGCAGCUUGGACCAAAUAAUGCUUUACGGGUACCAUCAGGCCCUUGCUGUCCAUGUCAGCCUUAUUACUUACCUGCUUGGGCCAACAGCAGUUGCAGUGGGGCUCAUGGGCAAGUUGUCAUCAUGGGAACUCGUGGCUGGGGAGAACCCAGCAGCUCUUCUCUGCCCCCAGUUCCUGGGGCUCAUGAGCCUGAUGUCAGGGCUGGCAUCUCAGCAACUGCUGGCCCUGCAGCCACUGAACCAUCCUGUCUGCCCUCCCUGGGCAGGAAGGCUCCUGUUCAAGUCCAUGGAUGUGCUGCACACCACAGCCUCAGAGCAUCCAAGUAACUGACGUUGGAAACAGGCAUACUGGGGGCCUGAUCCUGCCCCAAGUAGAACUAGCACCACCUCCUAUCACCCCAGAACACGGCCCAGAACAUCCCCAUAGCAAGGGCUGGCAUCAACCACACCGAGCAGGGUGUGAGGCUGUGUCCUGGGGACGCGGAACGGACCAGAGCCGGUGCAGGGUGUUGUGCAGCGGUCUGCUCUGCAGGAAGGGGGUUGGUGUCACCUGUCUGGGACCUUUUCAUUAAAGUUGCUGCCUUCCUUUUCAAA